GUCGGAGGGAAUGCUGCGUCCUGGUUCGUGCCAUAGAGAGAGGCGCUGCGGUGCUUUGCACCUGAGCCCGGGGUCCCCUCAGCUCUGCUGGAGGAGCAGGAGCGGUGUGAGCUGCCUCUCCGCGUCCCGUCAGCUGAGGAAUAGCGUGGAGGAAUGAAUUCCAGUGAGUUGGAUGAGGAAAAUGUAAACUCUGCGUUCUCGUCGGGCAAACAGCAGUCGUGUAAAUAAACGUCUCUGGGAUUCCUUGUGGUGCUCAUCGACUGCCCGAUCCCUCGUGGUCUCUUGUUGAACUGGUGGGGUGGCUGCUGCUGCUCCCCCAGCUCUGAGUGCUUUGCCAGCAGUUUGGGCAAAACACAAGUAAACACCAUUGGGUUGACC
rnacentral:lncRNA from 1 species